rnacentral:rRNA from 1 species
UACAGAGGUCUCAAGCGUUGUUCGGAUUUAUUGGGCGUAAAGGGUGCGUAGGCGGCGCCGUAAGUCGGGUGUGAAAUUUCGGAGCUCAACUCCGAAAUGGCAUUGGAAACUACCCUGCUAGAGGAUUGGAGGGGGGACUGGAAUACUUGGUGUAGCAGUGAAAUGCGUAGAUAUCAAGUGGAACACCAGUGGCGAAGGCGAGUCCCUGGACAAUACCUGACACUGAGGCACGAAAGCUAGGGGAGCAAACAGG